GUCCAGACUCCUACGGGAGGCAGCAGUGGGGAAUAUUGCACAAUGGGGGAAACCCUGAUGCAGCGACGCCGCGUGAGCGAAGAAGUAUUUCGGUAUGUAAAGCUCCAUCAGCAGGGAGGAAAAAAAUGACGGUACCUGAGUAAGAAGCACCGGCUAAAUACGUGCCAGCAGCCGCGGUAAUACGUAUGGUGCAAGCGUUAUCCGGAUUUACUGGGUGUAAAGGGAGCGUAGGCGGCGCGUUAAGUCUGGUGUGAAAACCCGAGGCUCAACCACGGGAGUGCAUUGGAAACUGCCGGGCUGGAGUGCCGGAGGGGCAAGCGGAAUUCCUGGUGUAGCGGUGAAAUGCGCAGAUAUCAGGAAGAACACCGGUGGCGCAGGCGGCUUGCUGGACGGCAACUGACGCUGAGGCUCGAAAGCGUGGGGAGCAAACAGGAUUAGAUACCCCGGUACG
rnacentral:rRNA from 1 species